UACGUAGGGUGCGAGCGUUAAUCGGAAUUACUGGGCGUAAAGCGUGCGCAGGCGGUGAUGUAAGACAGGUGUGAAAUCCCCGGGCUUAACCUGGGAACUGCAUUUGAUACUCUAGAGCUUGAGUACGGGAGAGGAGAGUGGAAUUCCCAGUGUAGAGGUGAAAUUCGUAGAUAUUGGGAAGAACACCGGUGGCGAAGGCGGCUCUCUGGGCCGAUACUGACGCUGAGGAGCGAAAGCGUGGGGAGCGAACAGG
rnacentral:rRNA from 1 species